rnacentral:rRNA from 1 species
AGCUACCAUGCAGUCGAGCGGUAGAGAGAAGCUUGCUUCUCUUGAGAGCGGCGGACGGGUGAGUAAUGCCUAGGAAUCUGCCUGGUAGUGGGGGAUAACGCUCGGAAACGGACGCUAAUACCGCAUACGUCCUACGGGAGAAAGCAGGGGACCUUCGGGCCUUGCGCUAUCAGAUGAGCCUAGGUCGGAUUAGCUAGUUGGUGAGGUAAUGGCUCACCAAGGCGACGAUCCGUAACUGGUCUGAGAGGAUGAUCAGUCACACUGGAACUGAGACACGGUCCAGACUCCUACGGGAGGCAGCAGUGGGGAAUAUUGGACAAUGGGCGAAAGCCUGAUCCAGCCAUGCCGCGUGUGUGAAGAAGGUCUUCGGAUUGUAAAGCACUUUAAGUUGGGAGGAAGGGCAUUAACCUAAUACGUUAGUGUUUUGACGUUACCGACAGAAUAAGCACCGGCUAACUCUGUGCCAGCAGCCGCGGUAAUACAGAGGGUGCAAGCGUUAAUCGGAAUUACUGGGCGUAAAGCGCGCGUAGGUGGUUCGUUAAGUUGGAUGUGAAAUCCCCGGGCUCAACCUGGGAACUGCAUUCAAAACUGUCGAGCUAGAGUAUGGUAGAGGGUGGUGGAAUUUCCUGUGUAGCGGUGAAAUGCGUAGAUAUAGGAAGGAACACCAGUGGCGAAGGCGACCACCUGGACUGAUACUGACACUGAGGUGCGAAAGCGUGGGGAGCAAACAGGAUUAGAUACCCUGGUAGUCCACGCCGUAAACGAUGUCAACUAGCCGUUGGGAGCCUUGAGCUCUUAGUGGCGCAGCUAACGCAUUAAGUUGACCGCCUGGGGAGUACGGCCGCAAGGUUAAAACUCAAAUGAAUUGACGGGGGCCCGCACAAGCGGUGGAACAUGUGGUUUAAUUC